rfam:Salmo salar isolate Sally breed double haploid chromosome ssa10, whole genome shotgun sequence.
UGAACGUAAGACUGUAAGUCGCUUUGGAUAAAAGCGCCUGCUAAAAUGUAAUACA